ensembl:lncRNA
AAAAAAUUGGCUUCCGAGUCUGGUGUGGCCUUGAUUGGAAAACCAGGGCCAGUAUCUUCACAGGCCGACUCUAUAACUAUUUUCUGUGUUCACCGAAUUUCCCUGUUGUUGAGAGUCACCUGAAUUGCUUAUAAGUCCCUGAGUUACUGGGAGUCAUCUCUGGAAAUUAUGAUUGAGGUCUUGGGUGAGGGGCUGGGAGUCUGUGGUUUUCAUAAACUAUUCUUAGGGUUUGUGUCUUUAGGGAAAUUGGUGUAAUACUAAAAGAUGGUAUUCGAACUUUUUUUCCUAAGAAGUUGCUCCGUGUUAACCUGUUCUACUUAUCCUGAUAUUCCCUAUUAGUUCCUCCUUUGGAUUUGAGUUUCUCCAGCAGCUGCUCCAAAUAAGUGCUGUUUCUGGGAAAGAAAGGAAUAUGCAGAGUUUAAGAGGGGGAUACACUAGUUCGGAUCUUCACCUUCUGCCCUCCCCCACCCCCUCAAGGAAUGAGCCACAGGUGGGAGGCAUCCUUUAUAAGCCAGUUCACUCAGAUCUUCUCACCCUACGAAAGCAGAAACCAGUUUAGGAAGCAAAGCAUUUAUUUGCGCUCAAAAACUUGUAAUUUGGGGAGCACAAAUUCAGCCCAGUCCUCAGACAAGAAUGUGCAGAGAAAGGUGACUGCAGAAAAUGAACGCGCCAAGCUUGUCAUACUGCAGAAGGCCUGAAGAAGGCGCUGCUGGUGUCCCUGUUCCUGCCGGCUGCUGCAGGAAGGAGUCGAACCUUCCUUGACAAGACAGAUAUUGCCAGUCAGACAGCCUGUCCUAUUGGCUGCCCGCCAGGCCCCUCACCGAGGGGAAAGACAGUGACUAAGCCCCAUCUUUCAGCCUGAAUUCUUGAACCUCCACCCAGAGGAACCAUCUCUUGGAGAAACAAGAUCUCCUCAUUCUGCAAUGCUGAGAAAUCAAGAAAACACCAGACCAUCUGCUCCCUCCACCCCUGCUUCCCUCAUUCACCCGCCAUACUCAUUCAUCCCUUGAGGCUCGGCUGGAAACAACCUCCUCUGUGAAGCCUUCCUUGACUUCCCAGGUGCACUGUGCUGCUCCAGCUAUAUGACUAACAGGAUGGAAGAGCUUUAGGACCCUACAGACUUGCAUUCAAGUGUCUUCCAAGCUAGAGCUGAAGACAUUAAAAUGUCGCAAGAGAGAGAAAAAUAUGGGGCUUCCAGGCAGGCAGUGAAGGAAGCUGGCUGGGUAAAGGAAGCUGUCUACCCUUUCCCUCAAAUCUUCUCAGGAGAUAGAAUUAAGUCUGUCACUUGAACAUGGGCACAAGGAUUGCAAAAACCCAAAGAAGAAGGAGGACUCCCCCAUUGUUACAGCGGUCAAAGCAAGGACCAAGCACGUCCAUGUGCUUGGUCACCUACUGCCACAGUUUCUGUGUCCAGUUGGGAUUCAGGACAGUAAACAACUUCAGUCCACAUGAGAGUUUCAGUGGAAUGGACCUGAGUUGCUGACUUCGUAACUUCCAGUCUCUUUAGGUAGUAAAUCUGCUUGCCUUGCAACAGUGAUUCUCAAACGGGGGCCCCUGAGCCAACAGCGUCAGUAUCACCUGGAACUUGCGAGAAAUGCAGACUCUCAGGACUCCCCCAGACCCAUGGGUCGGAACGGGGCCCAGCAUCCCUUGUGUCAACAAGCCUCCUGGGAGAGUCCCAUG